UGCAGUCGAACGAUGAAGCCCAGCUUGCUGGGUGGAUUAGUGGCGAACGGGUGAGUAAUACGUGAGUAACCUGCCUUUAACUCUGGGAUAAGCCUUGGAAACGGGGUCUAAUACCGGAUACGACCAACCCUCGCAUGAGGUGUUGGUGGAAAGGGAUUUUGUACUGGUUUUMGAUGGGCUCACGGCYURUCAGCUUGUUGGUGAGGUAACGGCUCACCAAGGCGACGACGGGUAGCCGGCCUGAGAGGGUGACCGGCCASACUGGGACUGAGRCAYGGCCCAGACUCCUACGGGAGGCAGCAGUGGGGAAUAUUGCACAAUGGGCRCRAGCCWGAUGCWGCRACGCCGCGUGAGGGAUGACGGCCUUCGGGUUGUAAACCUCUUUCAGCAGGGGAGAAGCGAAAGUGACGGUACCUGCAGAAGAAGCGCCGGCUAACUACGUGCCAGCAGCCGCGGUAAUACGUAGGGCGCGAGCGUUGUCCGGAAUUAUUGGGCGUAAAGAGCUUGUAGGCGGUUUGUCGCGUCUGCUGUGAAAGCCCGGGGCUUAACCCCGGGUUUGCAGUGGGUACGGGCAGACUAGAGUGCAGUAGGGGAGACUGGAAUUCCUGGUGUAGCGGUGAAAUGCGCAGAUAUCAGGAGGAACACCAAUGGCGAAGGCAGGUCUCUGGGCUGUAACUGACGCUGAGAAGCGAAAGCAUGGGGAGCGAACAGGAUUAGAUACCCUGGUAGUCCAUGCCGUAAACGUUGGGCACUANGUGUGGGGAACAUUCCACGUUUUCCGCGCCGUANCUAACGCAUUAAGUGCCCCGCCNGGGGAGUACGGCCGCAAGGNUAAAACUCAAAGAAAUUGACGGGGGCCCGCACAANCGGCGGANCANGCGGAUUAAUUCGAUGCAACGCGAAGAACNUUACCANGGCUUGACAUAUACUANACCGCCUNANANAUGGGGUUUCCCUUNNGGGCUGGUAUACAGGUGGUGCAUGGUUGUCGUUCAGCUCGUGUCGUGAGAUGUUGGGUUAAGUCCCGCCAACGAGCGCAACCCUCGUUCUAUGUUGCCAGCACGUAAUGGUGGGGACUCAUAGGAGACUGCCGGGGUAACUCGGAGRRAGGUGGGGAKGACGUYAAAUCAUCAUGCCCCUUAUGUCUUGGGCUUCAYGCAUGCUACAAUGGCCGGUACAAAGGGUUGCGRUACURUGAGGWUGAGCUAAUCCCAAAAWGCCGGUCUCAGUUCGSAUURRGGUCURCAACUCGACCCCAUGAAGUCGGAGUCGCUAGUAAUCGCAGAUCAGCAACGCUGCGGUGAAUACGUUCCCGGGCCUUGUACACACCGCCCGUCAAGUCACGAAAGUUGGUAACACCCGAAGCCGAUGGCCUAACCCCUUUG
rnacentral:rRNA from 1 species